AGAGUUUGAUCGUGGCCCAGGAUGAACGCUAGCGGCGCGCUUAAUGCAUGCAAGUCGAGCGAUGAGGCUCCUUCGGGAGUACAUCAGCGGCAGACGGGUGAGUAACACGUAGGUGACCUACCCUCAAGACGGGGAUAACGAGUGGAAACAUUUGCUAAUACCCGAUGACCUUACUAGGUCGAAGUAGUAAGGAAAGCUCCGGUGCUUGAGGAGGGGCCUGCGGCCCAUCGGCUAGUUGGUGAGGUAACGGCUCACCAAGGCAAAGACGGGUAGGGGGUGUGAGAGCAUGACCCCCCACAAUGGGACUGCGACACGGCCCAUACUCCUACGGGAGGCAGCAGCAGGGAAUCUUGCACAAUGGACGGAAGUCUGAUGCAGCGACGCCGCGUGAGUGAAGACGGCCUUCGGGUUGUAAAACUCUUUUGAGGGGGAAGAGUGAGGACGGUACCCUUCGAAUAAGCGUCGGCUAACUACGUGCCAGCAGCCGCGGUAAGACGUAGGACGCAAGCGUUAUCCGGAUUUACUGGGCGUAAAGCGUCUGUAGGCGGGUGUGUAAGUUGGAUGUGAAAGCUCCAUGCUCAACGUGGAGAGGCCAUACAAUACUGCACGCCUAGAGGGGGUCAGAGGAGUGUGGAAUUUCCGGUGUAGCGGUAAAAUGCGCAGAUAUCGGAAGGAACACCAGUGGCGAAGGCGGCACUCUGGGGCCCACCUGACGCUGAGAGACGAAAGCUAGGGGAGCGAACAGGAUUAGAGACCCUGGUAGUCCUAGCCCUAAACGCUGAAUGCUAGGUGUGGGGGCGUAGAGCCUCUGUGCCGGAGCUAACGCGAUAAGCAUUCCGCCUGGGGAGUACAGCCGCAAGGUUAAAACUCAAACGAAUUGACGGGACCCCGCACAAGCAGCGGAGCGUGUGGUUUAAUUCGAUUCUACACGAAGAACCUUACCUGGGUUUGACAUAUAGGUGGUAGGAAGCCGAAAGGCGACUGACCCUUCGGGGAGCUUAUACAGGUGCUGCAUGGCUGUCGUCAGCUCGUGCCGUGAGGUGUCGGGUUAAGUCCCGUAACGAGCGCAACCCUUGCCCUUAGUUAUACGUGUCUAAGGGGACUGCCGGCGGGAAGCCGGAGGAAGGUGGGGAUGACGUCAAGUCAGCAUGCCCCUUAUAUCCAGGGCUACACACACGCUACAAUGGGCGGUACAGAGCGCAGCGAAGUCGCGAGGCGGAGCGAAUCCUAGAAAGCCGUUCGUAGUUCGAAUAGCAGGCUGCAACUCGCCUGCUUGAAGCUGGAGUUGCUAGUAACCGCGCGUCAGCUAUAGUGCGGUGAAUACGUUCCCGGGGUUUGAACACACCGCCCGUCACGUCAUGGGAGUUGGUAACGCCUGAAGCCGGUAGCUUAACGUUAACGCGGGAGCGCUGUCGAGGGCGGGGCUGGCAACUGGGACGAAGUCGUAACAAGGUA
rnacentral:rRNA from 1 species